rnacentral:lncRNA from 12 species
CUUUUGUCAUCAUCAUCAUCAUCAUCAUCAUCAUCAUCCAUAGAAGCUCUGUAAAAAGGACAGGGAGGAAAGGUGGCACUUCCUCUUGGCCAGGAUUUCAGGAGCAUCCCUGUAGCUCUCCUCAUCUGCUAUCCCUGCCAGGGCCAGCACACAGGUGGCCAGCUCCUGAGGAGAGUUACAAAUUCAGCAGAAUGUCAAGCUGGGAAGGCAAGAAGGGAAGCAUCUCUGAGAGCAGCUCCACAGAGCAGCCUGCACACGCUGGAAGACUGCAGGCUUCCGGAAGAGGCAGACAGGACACAGCUAAUUCAGCCUUGGUGGGAAAAUUAGCAAAGCUACCAGGAUUAAGUUCAAACUCUUCAGCAGGAUUAAAAGGAGGCUGGCCACGCUGAUGUUAUCAAGUGCUGAUGAUGGUGUGGAGAAACCAGAACUUUCACAUGUUGCUGGUAGCAAAGGAAAAUGAUACAGCCACUUUGGGAAACAGUUUGGGAGUUUCAUGUAAAUUAAACACACAUUGACCAUAUGACUGACCCCAUUCCUACAUAACUACCCUCAUAAAAAUGAAAAUCUAUAUUCUCACAAAAGUCUGUGUACAAAUGUUUAUAGUGGUUUCAUUCAUGAUUGCCAGAACCAGAAACAACCCAAAAGUCCCUUAACUAGGGAAUGGAUAACAAUCU